rnacentral:rRNA from 1 species
UAGGGAAUYUUCCSCAAUGGASGAAAGUYUGACGGAGCAACGCCGSGUGAGCGAWGAAGSCCUUCGGGUSUAAAGCUCUGUUGUUAGGGAAGAACAAGUCCCGAGUAACUAUSGGCACCUUGACGGUACCUAACCAGAAAGCCMCGGCUAACUACGUGCCAGCAGCCGCGGUAAUACGUAGGKGGCRAGCGUUGUCCGGAAUUAUUGGGCGUAAAGCGCGCGCAGGCGGUUCUUUAAGUCUGAUGUGAAAGCCCCCGGCUCAACCGGGGAGGGUCAUUGGAAACUGGGGAACUUGAGUGCAGAAGAGGAGAGCGGAAUUCCMCGUGUAGCGGUGAAAUGCGUAGAGAUGUGGAGGAACACCAGUGGCGAAGGCGGCUCUCUGGUCUGUAACUGACGCUGAGGCGCGAAAGCGUGGGGAGCAAACAGGAUUAGAUACCCUGGUAGUCCACGCCGUAAACGAUGAGUGYUAAGUGUUGGAGGGUAUCCACCCUUCAGUGCYGCAGCUAACGCAUUAAGCACUCCGC